rnacentral:rRNA from 1 species
GAUAAACGCUGGCGGCGUGCCUAACACAUGCAAGUCGAACGAUCCCGCAAGGGAGAGUGGCGGAAGGGUGAGUAACACGUGGAAUCUACCUCCUCGCAGGGAACAACCUCUCGAAAGAGAGGCUAAUACCCAAAGGGUCAGAAAUGAUCAGAGUCGAAAGGCGUGAGGAGAGGAGCCCGCGGCCCAUCAGCUAGUUGGUGAGGUAAUGGCUUACCAAGGCUACGACGGGUAGGGGAUCUGAGAGGAUGUCCCCCACACUGGAACUGAAACACGGUCCAGACGCCUACGGGUGGCAGCAGUGAGGAAUAUUGGACAAUGGGCGAAAGCCCGAUCCAGCAACGCCGCGUGGAGGAUGAAAGGCCUUCGGGUCGUAAACUUCUUUAGAGGGAGACGAGAAAGGACGGUAUCCCUAGAAUAAGCGACGGCAAACUACGUGCCAGCAGCCGCGGU